UACGAAGGGGGCUAGCGUUGCUCGGAAUCACUGGGCGUAAAGGGUGCGUAGGCGGGGCUUUAAGUCAGGGGUGAAAUCCUGGAGCUCAACUCCAGAACUGCCUUUGAUACUGAAGAUCUUGAGUUCGGGAGAGGUGAGUGGAACUGCGAGUGUAGAGGUGAAAUUCGUAGAUAUCCGCAAGAACACCAGUGGCGAAGGCGGCUCACUGGCCCGAUACUGACGCUGAGGCACGAAAGCGUGGGGAGCAAACAGG
rnacentral:rRNA from 1 species